GGAAUGCCCAAGCUUUGAGCAGCGUUUUCAAGAUCUAUUGUUGAUAAUAUAUAAUAUCUUACAAGUUAUUUAAUUCUCUAAUGUAUGGGAAGCAGCGUAGCAUCGUCCUUGCUGUUGCUAUGGUAUUUAUUGCUGUUGAGCCUUCAGGAAACCUCUCUGCAUCUCGGUUUCCUCAUCUAUAAAAUGGAGAUGAUAACUGUACUUACAUCAUGGAGCUGCUAUGAGGAUCAAAGAAGUUAUCAACACUUCAGAAUAUGGCCAGCACAUAGGAACAAUAUAUCUAUUUGCUAAAUCGAAGGAUAAAAAGAAACCUACUUUGUAUGGAAAAGGAGAAAGAAAAGAGUAAGAUUGAACUAUGCUUUGCUGCAUGGUGGGUUUGAUGAAAGUGGAGUCACGCUGAUUGGUGCUCAAGAUAAAUGUCUUAGGGGAAGACUCAUACCCAGUGGAAUUUUUUUUAGUGAAAUAUCGUGGCUCAUGGACUGUGAGAUUUGUCAUUUGUUUUCAAUAAAAUGAUAAAAAUCAUAAUUUAUUUUGUGAAAAAGAAUUUCUAAUGGAAGCAGGGAAAAGCAUAAAGCAAAACAUAUGCUGUUUGGAUUAUAUAUACAUUUUUUGGAAACCUGUGAGUUAGUAAAAGAGUUUUACAAUUCCAGUUUGAAUAGAAUUGGUG
rnacentral:lncRNA from 1 species